rnacentral:rRNA from 1 species
AGAGUUUGAUCCUGGCUCAGGACGAACGCUGGCGGCGCGCCUAACACAUGCAAGUCGAGCGAUGAAGGCCUUCUUCGGAAGGCGCAUGAAGCGGCGAACGGGCGAGUAACGCGUGGGCAACCUGCCCCCCUCACGGGAAUAGCCGCGGGAAACCGCGGGUAAUGCCGGACGCCCCGGCGGGAGCGCAUGCCCCCGCCGGGAAAGCGCAUGCGGAGGGGGAUGGGCCCGCGUCCCAUCAGCCAGACGGCGGGGUGACGGCCCACCGUGGCGACAACGGGUAGCCGGGCUGAGAGGCCGGACGGCCGCAUUGGGACUGAGACACGGCCCAGAAUCCUACGGGAGGCA